UGGGUCUUACGCAAUGGACAUCCACGAACCGUGUCAGGGUGGGAACACAGCAGCACUAAGAGGAACCGUUCAUGUGCCGUAAGGGUGCCUG
rnacentral:SRP_RNA from 1 species